rnacentral:sRNA from 1 species
UCCUGUUCGAUGAUGAUGGAUUCAAUA